AAAGAAGAAGGUUUGGGCUUUCACGCAAAUAGUAUUUGUGUUGAUAGUAAAGGCGAAGUGUAUGUGUCUGACAAUAAGCAAAUUUCUAAGUUAGAUUCAGUAAAUUAUCGAAAGGAAGUUGUUUUAGCACAGAAGGGGAAUGGAACUUGUGAUAUUCGAGGAAUUGCUAUUGACAAGGAUGAUCGAAUAUACUACAGUGACACAACUAAUGGUGCAAUCAUGAGAUUAAAACUCAAUUCGAAAACAGCGAAUGUAAUCAUUGAAAAUUUAAAGAAUCCGUUAAGCAUUGCAUGCGACAAAACAUCUAACCAGAUACUUGUCAUAACCGACAGGGGAAGUAACAUAGAAAUAUGGCAACUUUGAAAUGUUUUAUUGAACCAAGAGACGUACCACUUUUGAGAUACAAAUACAGUUGUGAUAUUUGGCGGAUUUGGUAAAACCGAAACAUCUUAAUAUGCUUAUUGUGGUUUAUGUGUUCUGGUAAAAACUCUGACAAAGAAAUAACAUGAUUUAUGUAAAACAUAAUUUUGCAGCAUCAAUUAAAUGUUUUUCAUUAAAUCUAUGUAACCUCUGCAGGUGUUAUUCUGUGUUGUAAAUUAUUAAGUAGCCGUUAUCAUUAUUGAAAUAACUUGACAGUUGAUAAAAAAAGUCAUCGCAUUCAAGCUAAGGUUUAGAAAUCUCUCGAUAGAGUGACUCGUUAACAGGUUACUGUAAUGUUUAAGCUAAUUCGUACAUGUCAAAGAUAAAGUUAACAAUAUAAGACAUAUAUUUAAAAACGGGUUAAGGACAACGGGUAAAUUUAGAAUAUAACAGAUACAUUUUAUACAGAUAACCAUUAAGAGUCAUUUCUAGAAGAUUGAAAAUUCAAUUUCAUUCCCUUUUCCAUUAAUUCUAUGUAGGCAGAAUACAAGAUUUGCACAUUUUAGGAUACCUUGUUAAUUAUGUUAAUUUCUAAGCAUUGUUUCAAUAAUCCAAACUUUAUAAAAAAGGCAUUUUAUUGCAGUGUUGAAGUGAAUUGUUACAUUGCUAAAUAAACACCCAACAGGGUCAUGUCAUUAACUCUUAUAGAAAUGAAAAGGCUGCUUAUUGUUAUAUAUAUAUAUAUAAAUACAUAUCUGUGUUCUAAUCUUAAUAAUUAUUAAUUAAUGAUGUACACAUAUAUAUAUAUCAUUUAAAAGUAAUUUUUCUUACAUAUUAUUGUAUAUUCUAAAUAUUAGUUAUAUAUAUUUGAAAAAAAUGAUUUAUUUGAGUUUAUUUUAACAGUUUGACCAAUCUAGACAGAAUGGUGAUUUAAUAGAUAUAAAGGAGAAUUAUUGUGAAAGGCUUUUUCCAUUAAUAUUUGUCUACUGUGUUUUCAUGUACACUUGUCUCAAAGUUAAAUGCUAGAAUAAUACUCUCUCAAAUGUAUAUAUGUAUUAUUAAACUCGUAUUAAAAGACUCUCAAACUUA